rnacentral:rRNA from 1 species
UGGAGCACCUGGCCGUACGGCUCAGUAACACCCCUUUAAACUGCCCUUAGGACAGGGAUAACCAUGGGAAACUAUCCCUAAUCCCAAAUAGGAAACUUGGCCUGGAACGGUAUUUUUCCAAAAACCGGCUCGCCGUGAGAUACGGGCCUAAGGAUGGGGCUGCGGCCGAUUAUGCUUGAUGGCGGUGUAAUGGACCACCAUGGCGACGAUCGGUAUGGGCGAUGGAAGUUGGAGCCCAGAGUCGGCCACUGAGACAAGGGGCCGAGCCUUACGAGGUUUAGCGGUCGCGAAACCUCGCCAAUGCACGAAAGUGUGAGUGGGCUACUCCAAGUGACUUUCUUACGGAAGUCUGUCGCACAGUCUUACCAGCUGUGAAAGGAAGGAGAGGGCAAGGCUGGUGCCAGCCGCCGCGGAAAAACCAGCUCUUCGAGUGGUCGGGACAAAUAUUGGGUCUAAAGCGCUCGUAGCCGGGCAAGUAGGUUCCUGGUUAAAUCCGACGUCUUAAGCGUCGUCAUGCUGGGAAUACCGCUAGCCAAGGAAGCGGGAGAGGACAAGA